UCUCAUGAAACAGCUUCCUUUUAAAGAUGAGAAACAGAUUGCUUUAAAGUAUGCAGGUUAUUAUGCCCGUUUCAAUAAGGUUUGAUCCAAAAAAAAUCCAGUUCAUCACAAAUUACAUUUUCACAGAUCAAAUUUAUUCUGUUUGUAGUAAAGUUUUAAUAGUUGGAUUGAAUUGAAGUUCGAUUUAGGGUUUUAAUGGAGUUUAGGUAAGGC